rnacentral:rRNA from 1 species
GAAGUGUGGACGCCAGUCUGCAUGGAGCCGACCUUGAAAUACCACCCUUUAAUGUUUGAUGUUCUAACGUUGACCCGUAAUCCGGGUUGCGGACAGUGUCUGGUGGGUAGUUUGACUGGGGCGGUCUCCUCCUAAAGAGUAACGGAGGAGCACGAAGGUUGGCUAAUCCUGGUCGGACAUCAGGAGGUUAGUGCAAUGGCAUAAGCCAGCUUGACUGCGAGCGUGACGGCGCGAGCAGGUGCGAAAGCAGGUCAUAGUGAUCCGGUGGUUCUGAAUGGAAGGGCCAUCGCUCAACGGAUAAAAGGUACUCCGGGGAUAACAGGCUGAUACCGCCCAAGAGUUCAUAUCGACGGCGGUGUUUGGCACCUCGAUGUCGGCUCAUCACAUCCUGGGGCUGAAGUAGGUCCCAAGGGUAUGGCUGUUCGCCAUUUAAAGUGGUACGCGAGCUGGGUUUAGAACGUCGUGAGACAGUUCGGUCCCUAUCUGCCGUGGGCGCUGGAGAACUGAGGGGGGCUGCUCCUAGUACGAGAGGACCGGAGUGGACGCAUCACUGGUGUUCGGGUUGUCAUGCCAAUGGCACUGCCCGGUAGCUAAAUGCGGAAGAGAUAAGUGCUGAAAGCAUCUAAGCACGAAACUUGUCCCGAGAUGAGUUCUCCCUGACUCCUUGAGAGUCCUGAAGGAACGUUGAAGACGACGACGUUGAUAGGCCGGGUGUGUAAGCGCAGCGAUGCGUUGAGCUAACCGGUACUAAUGAACCGUGAGGCUUAACCUU